UCCCGGCUCAGGAUGAACGCUAGCGGCAGGCUUAACACAUGCAAGUCGAGGGGUAUAGUUCUUCGGAAUUAGAGACCGGCGCACGGGUGCGUAACGCGUAUGCAAUCUACCUUUUGCAGAGGGAUAGCCCAGAGAAAUUUGGAUUAAUACCUCAUAGUAUAGCAGUUUCGCAUGAAACCACUAUUAAAGUCACAACGGCAAAAGAUGAGCAUGCGUCCCAUUAGCUAGUUGGUAAGGUAACGGCUUACCAAGGCUACGAUGGGUAGGGGUCCUGAGAGGGAGAUCCCCCACACUGGUACUGAGACACGGACCAGACUCCUACGGGAGGCAGCAGUGAGGAAUAUUGGACAAUGGGCGCAAGCCUGAUCCAGCCAUGCCGCGUGCAGGAUGACGGUCCUAUGGAUUGUAAACUGCUUUUGUACAGGAAGAAACACUCCCUCGUGAGGGAGCUUGACGGUACUGUAAGAAUAAGGAUCCGGCUAA
rnacentral:rRNA from 1 species